GAUGAACGCUGGCGGCGUGCCUAAUACAUGCAAGUCGAGCGAACAGAUGAGGAGCUUGCUUCUCUGAUGUUAGCGGCGGACGGGUGAGUAACACGUGGAUAACCUACCUAUAAGACUGGGAUAACUUCGGGAAACCGGAGCUAAUACCGGAUAAUAUAUUGAACCGCAUGGUUCAAUAGUGAAAGACGGUUUUGCUGUCACUUAUAGAUGGAUCCGCGCCGCAUUAGCUAGUUGGUAAGGUAACGGCUUACCAAGGCAACGAUGCGUAGCCGACCUGAGAGGGUGAUCGGCCACACUGGAACUGAGACACGGUCCAGACUCCUACGGGAGGCAGCAGUAGGGAAUCUUCCGCAAUGGGCGAAAGCCUGACGGAGCAACGCCGCGUGAGUGAUGAAGGUCUUCGGAUCGUAAAACUCUGUUAUUAGGGAAGAACAAAUGUGUAAGUACCUAUGCACGUCUUGACGGUACCUAAUCAGAAAGCCACGGCUAACUACGUG
rnacentral:rRNA from 1 species